UGGUGGAGGGAGGGUAGAAGGGGAGUGGAGGGUGCAGAGAGUGUAAAGAAGAGCGAGUGUGUAGCAGGGAAAGUACUGGUCUGUGCUGCGUGUGGGAAGUGACUUUAGUGGCGGCGUGAAGGCGAGGACACGAGUGAGGUGCUGGCAGGCUGACUGAGCGCAAUGGACCAACACGAAUAGCUGGAGCUCGGGGGACAGGCGCGCGAAGGCAGACGGCGACAGAUUCGUGACUCAAAAUAAAAGCAUCGUGACAGCACAAGUGGGAGCGUCCGUCAUUCUUCACUGCAAGACCUCAAGUGCGACUGGCGGCCUGAUUUUUUUAAGAAUACGCUGCUCUGAGGCAAGCACUGAGAAACCAGGAAUGUCAUGGCCUCCAAUACGAUGACUGGUGAGGUAAACAAGUUAUGUCACUCGUGAUGGCGCAGGCGGCGAGUGGAGGCGAGGCUGCCCACCGCAUCCAUCCUCUGAGUGGCAUUAGUGCAGGAGUCCUUGUCUCAUCAGCCUCGGCCUCCAAAAACACGGGCUGCUUUAACACUUGUGAAUACAAGGCAAAAAACAUGGUGACUCGAGCAACUUUUCUGUGUCUUGGAUCAGGAAGAGGGACUACCAGCUCCUGACGGUGAGUCUGUACACACACUCCAGUGACGACCGCUUCUCCAUCAACUACGUGCAUUGGCUGUGAAGAACAUGCGAGCACUUGGGAGUUGCUUCCAUCAUGGGAGUGUCCCUCAAGAGUAGGAGCCACCCCUCUCACUGACCUGAGUCACCUGACCCUAUCAGAUUGACACAGAAGAGUGAAGGACUGCCUGCUGCCUUGAUGCAAGAAAGUUUAGGCUGCCAUCUCACUCCUGCAUUGACAGCUGAUUUGUGCUGAAGCCCACCAGUCCAGUCAAGCCAGGAGGGACCAGGUGAUCAGUGCUGAGGAGUGGAGAGUGGGCUGGCAGGAAUUAGAAGCUUUAAGAGGUUCUGAAGAAGAGAUGAAGUGGAAGAUGAACCUGGGGGCUGUCAGCUUUGUGGAAUCCUGGUAAAAUUGGAGGAUGAACUCCGCUGCCUGUCAAAUCUGUCCUGAAGUGAAGUGCUCUGACUGAAUUGGGCCUUCCGUCAUCACAGUUGAAGAGAACCCAGCUCUGUCUGAACCCUGCCUGUCAGUUGCUAAACAUUGCAGAAGAUGGAGCCGUGGGUGAACCAAAGCCAUACGUGAACCCGGCAAGAAAGUGGUGUUGCUGUCCUGAGGCUCAGGAGCACCAAUUCACUGUCCACCCUCCUUCAUCAUGGAAAGAUGUGUGUGAACAAAGAAAUUACUUGAUGAAAAAUAAAACUCACUGUAAUUUGUCAAAUUUAAUAAUUGUAUUGUGAAAAAAAAAUUAAAUUUGCUUAAUAAUUAUAACUCAAUGUAAUCUGCCUUAUAAUUGUUAGCUAGCUUUGUAAAAAAAAAUUAUUUAUAGAGAUCAAUAUCCCUGUAGUGAAGGAGGAAGGACUCAGAAAGGAGUCCUUCCUCCCUCCUUCACUACAAAAUACUAAGUUUAAGGCUUCACUACAAAAUACUAAGUUUAAGGUGCGAUUUGUACAUAGAGGCACCGUCCCUCCCUGCAUUCAGGGAGGGUCAAUCUACAGGGAAAUCCAGGAGCCUCUAUGUGCA